UGCCUUAGUAACGGCGAGUGAAGCGGCAAUAGCUCAAAUUUGAAAGCUGGCCCUUCGGGGUCCGCGUUGUAAUUUGUAGAGGAUGAUUCGGCGAGGGCUCCCGUCUAAGUCCCUUGGAACAGGGCGUCAUAGAGGGUGAGAAUCCCGUAUGUGAUGGGCUGCCUUAGCCAUGUGAAUCUCCUUCGACGAGUCGAGUUGUUUGGGAAUGCAGCUCUAAAUGGGAGGUAAAUUUCUUCUAAAGCUAAAUACCGGCCAGAGACCGAUAGCGCACAAGUAGAGUGAUCGAAAGAUGAAAAGCACUUUGGAAAGAGAGUUAAAAAGUACGUGAAAUUGUUGAAAGGGAAGCGCUUGCAGCCAGACUUGUCCGCAGUUGCUCAGCUUGUCUCCUGACAGGCGUACUCUUCUGCGGCCAGGCCAGCAUCAGUUCGGGCGGUCGGAUAAAGACCUGGGGAAUGUAGCUCCUCUCGGGGAGUGUUAUAGCCCUGGGUGCAAUGCGGCCAGCCUGGACUGAGGAUCUCGCUUCGGCUAGGAUGCUGGCGUAAUGGCUGUAAGCGGCCCGUCUUGAAACACGGACCAAGGAGUCUAACAUCUAUGCGAGUGUUUGGGUGUCAAACCCAUGCGCGUAAUGAAAGUGAACGGAGGUGGGAACCCUCACGGGUGCACCAUCGACCGAUCCUGAUGUCUUCGGAUGGAUUUGAGUAAGAGCAUAGCUGUUGGGACCCGAAAGAUGGUGAACUAUGCCUGAAUAGGGUGAAGCCAGAGGAAACUCUGGUGGAGGCU
rnacentral:rRNA from 1 species